GGACUACCGGGGUAUCUAAUCCCGUUCGCUCCCCUGGCUUUCGCGUCUCAGCGUCAGAAAACGUCCAGGACCUCGCUUUCGCCACGGGCGUUCCUUCCGAUCUCAACGCAUUUCACCGCUCCACCGGAAGUUCCAGGUCCCCCUACGUCCCUCAAGGACGGUCGUAUCCGCGCCACUUCCCCGGUUGAGCCGGGGGAUUUCAGCGACAGACGUGCCGUCCCGCCUACACGCGCUUUAAGCCCAGUGAUUCCGAAUAACGUUUGCACGGUUCGUCUUACCGCGGCUGCUGGCAC
rnacentral:rRNA from 1 species